UGCAUGGAGCCGACCUUGAAAUACCACCCUUUAAUGUUUGAUGUUCUAACGUUGACCCGUAAUCCGGGUUGCGGACAGUGUCUGGUGGGUAGUUUGACUGGGGCGGUCUCCUCCUAAAGAGUAACGGAGGAGCACGAAGGUUGGCUAAUCCUGGUCGGACAUCAGGAGGUUAGUGCAAUGGCAUAAGCCAGCUUGACUGCGAGCGUGACGGCGCGAGCAGGUGCGAAAGCAGGUCAUAGUGAUCCGGUGGUUCUGAAUGGAAGGGCCAUCGCUCAACGGAUAAAAGGUACUCCGGGGAUAACAGGCUGAUACCGCCCAAGAGUUCAUAUCGACGGCGGUGUUUGGCACCUCGAUGUCGGCUCAUCACAUCCUGGGGCUGAAGUAGGUCCCAAGGGUAUGGCUGUUCGCCAUUUAAAGUGGUACGCGAGCUGGGUUUAGAACGUCGUGAGACAGUUCGGUCCCUAUCUGCCGUGGGCGCUGGAGAACUGAGGGGGGCUGCUCCUAGUACGAGAGGACCGGAGUGGACGCAUCACUGGUGUUCGGGUUGUCAUGCCAAUGGCACUGCCCGGUAGCUAAAUGCGGAAGAGAUAAGUGCUGAAAGCAUCUAAGCACGAAACUUGCC
rnacentral:rRNA from 1 species